GUGCUCGCUUUGGUAGCACAUAUACUAAAAUUGGAAUGAUAGGGAGAAGAUUACUAUGGCCUCUGCAAGAAUGACUCGCAAAUUCGUGAAGCGUUCCAUAUUUUU
ensembl:snRNA U6 U6 spliceosomal RNA